rnacentral:rRNA from 1 species
UACGGGGGGAGCAAGCGUUGUUCGGAUUUACUGGGCGUAAAGCGCGCGUAGGCGGCUUUGUAAGUUAGAGGUGAAAGCCCGGGGCUCAACUCCGGAACUGCCUUUAAGACUGCAUCGCUUGAAUCCGGGAGAGGUGAGUGGAAUUCCGAGUGUAGAGGUGAAAUUCGUAGAUAUUCGGAAGAACACCAGUGGCGAAGGCGGCUCACUGGACCGGUAUUGACGCUGAGGUGCGAAAGCGUGGGGAGCAAACAGG